rnacentral:pre_miRNA from 1 species
GCUCGCUUUUGGGUUUAUGGUGUUCCGUGCCAGGGACAAGUUUGUUUACAUGUGUGUGGAUGCUGUCCAGUACCAAGGACAGCUGUAUUUGUAU